CCUACGGGUGGCAGCAGUGAGGAAUAUUGGUCAAUGGACGAGAGUCUGAACCAGCCAAGUAGCGUGAAGGAUGACUGCCCUAUGGGUUGUAAACUUCUUUUAUAAGGGAAUAAAACGAGGCACGUGUGCCUUUUUGCAUGUACUUUAUGAAUAAGGAUCGGCUAACUCCGUGCCAGCAGCCGCGGUAAUACGGAGGAUCCGAGCGUUAUCCGGAUUUAUUGGGUUUAAGGGGAGCGUAGAUGGGUUGUUAAGUCAGUUGUGAAAGUUUGCGGCUCAACCGUAAAAUUGCAAUUGAUACUGGCAGUCUUGAGUACAGUUGAGGUAGGCGGAGUUCGUGGUGUAGCGGUGAAAUGCUUAGAUAUCACGAAGAACCCCGAUUGCGAAGGCAGCUUACUAAACUGUGACUGACACUGAUGCUCGAAAGUGUGGGGAUCAAACAGGAUUAGAUACCCUUGUAGUC
rnacentral:rRNA from 1 species